rnacentral:rRNA from 1 species
CUACGGGAGGCAGCAGUGGGGAAUAUUGGACAAUGGGCGAAAGCCUGAUCCAGCAAUGCGGCGUGAGUGAUGAAGGCCUUAGGGUUGUAAA